rnacentral:lncRNA from 1 species
GGCAGGUGAUUGCAUAUUAUAACUAGAAAAUAUCCGUCUCAUGAUGAAAAAUCCCAUGAACUGCCAUAAAUAAAUCAUUUUUGUGAUAAAUAUUUAUGCCAAUCCAUAAAAUUAUCCAUAUAGGAAAUAAAUAUCCAAAUAAAUAUAAGUCAGCAUACUUUAACCCCAUGUAUACCAAAAAAUGAUCAUGUCUGGAAUGGGAUACUUAACAACAUGCACCCC